AAAGCACUCCUUACUACUAGUAAGGACACACUCCUACCCACUAACCAUUUACCCUAAUUAUCGUCCUCCACACAUUCCUAUCAAGGGUCAUUUCCUCUACAAGCUGUAUUUGUUCCAUGUCAUGCCUAAUCACUUUCCUUCAAUAUUUCUUCAGCCUACCUCCACCCUGUCUGAAGCCAUUCAAAGCCAGCCUCUCACACCUUCAUACUGGGGCAUCCCUACAUCUUCUCAUCACAUAUUCGAACCAUCUCAAUCUCACUUUCCGCAUCCUGCCUUCCAUCCA
rnacentral:lncRNA from 1 species